rnacentral:rRNA from 1 species
AACGAACGCUGGCGGCAUGCCUAACACAUGCAAGUCGAACGAAGGCUUCGGCCUUAGUGGCGCACGGGUGCGUAACGCGUGGGAAUCUGCCCUUGGGUUCGGAAUAACUUCGGGAAACUGACGCUAAUACCGGAUGAUGACGUAAGUCCAAAGAUUUAUCGCCCAAGGAUGAGCCCGCGUCGGAUUAGCUAGUUGGUGAGGUAAAAGCUCACCAAGGCGACGAUCCGUAGCUGGUCUGAGAGGAUGAGCAGCCACACUGGGACUGAGACACGGCCCAGACUCCUACGGGAGGCAGCAGUGGGGAAUAUUGGACAAUGGGCGAAAGCCUGAUCCAGCAAUGCCGCGUGAGUGAUGAAGGCCUUAGGGUUGUAAAGCUCUUUUACCCGGGAUGAUAAUGACCGUACCGGGAGAAUAAGCUCCGGCUAACUCCGUG